rnacentral:rRNA from 1 species
UAGGGAAUCUUCGGCAAUGGACGAAAGUCUGACCGAGCAACGCCGCGUGAGUGAAGAAGGUUUUCGGAUCGUAAAACUCUGUUGUUAGAGAAGAACAAGGACGUUAGUAACUGAACGUCCCCUGACGGUAUCUAACCAGAAAGCCACGGCUAACUACGUGCCAGCAGCCGCGGUAAUACGUAGGUGGCAAGCGUUGUCCGGAUUUAUUGGGCGUAAAGCGAGCGCAGGCGGUUUCUUAAGUCUGAUGUGAAAGCCCCCGGGUCAACCGGGGAGGGUCAUUGGAAACUGGGAGACUUGAGUGCAGAAGAGGAGAGUGGAAUUCCAUGUGUAGCGGUGAAAUGCGUAGAUAUAUGGAGGAACACCAGUGGCGAAGGCGGCUCUCUGGUCUGUAACUGACGCUGAGGCUAGAAAGCGUGGGGAGCAAACAGG